CAGCCCUUGACAUGUCCGGCUACCUGCAGAGAUGCAGGGUUCCCUUCGGGGACCGGAGCACAGGUGCUGCAUGGCUGUCGUCAGCUCGUGUCGUGAGAUGUUGGGUUAAGUCCCGCAACGAGCGCAACCCUCGCCCUUAGUUGCCAGCAUUCAGUUGGGCACUCUAAGGGGACUGCCGGUGAUAAGCCGAGAGGAAGGUGGGGAUGACGUCAAGUCCUCAUGGCCCUUACGGGCUGGGCUACACACGUGCUACAAUGGUGGUGACAGUGGGCAGCGAACGGGCGACCGUGAGCUAAUCUCCAAAAGCCAUCUCAGUUCGGAUUGCACUCUGCAACUCGAGUGCAUGAAGUUGGAAUCGCUAGUAAUCGCGGAUCAGCAUGCCGCGGUGAAUACGUUCCC
rnacentral:rRNA from 1 species